rnacentral:misc_RNA from 1 species
AAGUCGUAACAAGGUUUCCGUAGGUGAACCUGCGGAAGGAUCAUUAACACGUAUCCAAACGUUAACCCCCUGUGAACCUUCAAUGUGCUCGUACACUUUGUGGUAAAUCAUCGCCGAACAGUUUUGAUUCUGGGACUUCCUCAAAGAGUGUGCAUGUUGCGCGAGGCAAGUGGCCUGGCAUUCCCAAGCAGUUAAUGUCUGAAAGUGUCAUUGGCUGUGUAAGGAUGACGCAGUAACGAUCGUUGGAGGCCGACACGGCCGACGACCGGGUCACCGGGCGCAAGCCCCUUUAUCACCACUUGAUGCAUGACAGACGCGCCAGCGCUUAAUUGUGCGGCGACCAAAAACCGAACAACUGUUAACAAUGGAUAUCUUGGUUCUC